UUGUGAAAUGUUGGGUUAAGUCCCGCAACGAGCGCAACCCUUUUCCUUAGUUUCCAGCAGGUUAGGUUGGGAACUCUAAGGAGACUGCCGGUGACAAACCGGAGGAAGGUGGGGAUGACGUCAAGUCAUCAUGGCCCUUACGAGCAGGGCUACACACGUGCUACAAUGGCGUAUACAAAGGGUAGCCAACCUGCGAGGGGGAGCAAAUCCCAAAAACCCGUUCUAAGUCCGGAUUGGAGUCUGCAACUCGACUCCAUGAAGUCGGAAUCGCUAGUAAU
rnacentral:rRNA from 1 species